rnacentral:rRNA from 1 species
AACGAACGCUGGCGGCAGGCCUAACACAUGCAAGUCGAGCGGGGGAGCAAUCCCUAGCGGCGGACGGGUGAGUAACGCGUGGGAACGUACCCUUUGCUUCGGAAUAGCCCCCGGGAAACUGGGAGUAAUACCGGAUGUGCCCUACGGGGGAAAGAAUUUCGGCAAAGGAUCGGCCCGCGUUGGAUUAGGUAGUUGGUGGGGUAAUGGCCUACCAAGCCGACGAUCCAUAGCUGGUUUGAGAGGAUGAUCAGCCACACUGGGACUGAGACACGGCCCAGACUCCUACGGGAGGCAGCAGUGGGGAAUCUUAGACAAUGGGCGGCAAGCCUGAUCUAGCCAUGCCGCGUGAGCGAUGAAGGCCUUAGGGUUGGUAAAGACUCUUUCG